rnacentral:rRNA from 1 species
CGACAGGGGCGGCGGGCUUACACAUGCAAGUCGAGCGCCCCCUCGGGGGAGCGGCAGACGGGUGAGUAAUGCAUGGGAAUCUACCUAGCUCUACGGAAUAACUCAGGGAAACUUGAACUAAUACCGUAUACGUCCUUCGGGAGAAAGAUUUAUCGGAGUUAGAUGAGCCCAUGUCUGAUUAGCUAGUUGGUGAGGUAAAGGCUCACCAAGGCGACGAUCAGUAGCUGGUCUGAGAGGAUGAUCAGCCACACUGGGACUGAGACACGGCCCAGACUCCUACGGGAGGCAGCAGUGGGGAAUAUUGGACAAUGGGCGCAAGCCUGAUCCAGCCAUGCCGCGUGAGUGAUGAAGGCCCUAGGGUUGUAAAGCUCUUUCACCGGUGAAGAUAAUGACGGUAACCGGAGAAGAAGCCCCGGCUAACUUCGUGCCAGCAGCCGCGGUAAU